CCGGGUCCGGGACCCUGCAUGGUGGGUAGUUUGACUGGGGCGGUCGCCUCCCAAAGAGUAACGGAGGCGCGCGAAGGUGGGCUCAGGCUGGUCGGAAAUCAGCUGUUGAGUGCAAUGGCAUAAGCCUGCCUGACUGCGAGAGUGACGGCUCGAGCAGAGACGAAAGUCGGUCAUAGUGAUCCGGUGGUUCUGAGGGGAAGGGCCAUCGCUCAACGAAUAAAAGGUAUGCCGGGGAUAACAGGCUGAUACCAUCCAAGAGUUCAUAUCGACGAUGGUGUUUGGCACCUCGAUGUCGGCUCAUCACAUCCUGGGGCUGGAGCAGGUCCCAAGGGUUUGGCUGUUCGCUAAUUAAAGUGGUACGUGAGCUGGGUUUAGAACGUCGUGAGACAGUUCGGUCCCUAUCUGCUGUGGGCGUAGGAAACUUGAGGAGAGCUGUUCUUAGUACGAGAGGACCGGAAUGGACGAACCUCUAGUGUACCAGUUGUCUCGCCAGAGGCACCGCUGGGUAGCUAUGUUCGGAAGGGAUAAGCGCUGAAAGCAUCUAAGUGCGAAGCCCACUCCAAGAUAAGGUUUCCCGGGGCAUUAGCCCCCUAAAGGCUCCUUGAAGACCACGAGGUCGAUAGGUCGCAGGUGUAAGCACAGCAAUGUGUUCAGCCGAGCGAUACUAAUCAGCCGUGCGGCUUGAUCAUUUAA
rnacentral:rRNA from 1 species